CAGAUGUGGGCAGCAGGAUGGCAAACAGCCGUCUCUCAGAUUGGACCGCAUUUUGUUUGGUGGGUGGCAGCCCAAAGUGUGUUCUAUCAUCUGUACAACCAGGUUUCAUACAUGUCGUUGGAUGAGAUCUCUCCUUUGACCUUUAGCAUUGGUAACACCAUGAAACGUAUCUCUGUAAUAGUCUCCUCCAUCAUAAUUUUACAUCAUGAUAAAUCUU
rnacentral:misc_RNA from 1 species